UUCCUGAGGCAUUUCUUUCUUUAUACCUCUGCCAAACUUGGUGGCGGCACCACCUCCAAGUUUGGCAGACCUAAUAAUGGCGCUUCCCGAUCUUUCCAACCCUUUUGGCCUAUAUAUGCUUAAGGUGUAUAUAUAUAUAUAUAUAUAUAUAUAUAUAUAUAUAUAUAUAUAUAUAUAUAUAUAUAUAUGUAUAUGUGGCACACAGGGUGAAGCCAGGCAAAACAAGAAAUCACCUCAAAGUAAUCAAAGAGACAAGAGCAAAUAUAUAUAUAUAUUAUAUAUUGUAAGUACACAUUAGUUCUAAUUCCAUGAAAAUCAAUUUGUAUAGUAUUCUUCCUCUUUAGGGUAUUCUUAAUUAUUUUGUGUUUUCUUGUCUAAGAGUUAUGCUCGAGGACAUUCUGAAUAUUAAUUUAUCUUUUCUUUCUUGGAGAUUCUGGUGUAGUAUUAGGUUUUACUGAUUCAAAACGAUUACGACAACUGUUUGGAUUCUUGGAUCUACCAUUGAUUGUAAUAUUCAGGUAAUAUAUUAUUCAUUAUUAGUUACUUGGUUCUGAGUUCUUCUAAACAUUAUGAUUAUUCUUGUAAAUCGUAUGAAAGUGAUCUUAUUGUUUGCACUCUCUUUUGUGAGUUAUUUAUCUUUAUGACUACAACUGAUCUAUGUCAUCCUUCAACACCUAAUUCAGAUUCCAAAAGUGUUUAUUACUCGAAUCAAUGUUUCUCCAUAAAUUAAGGAGUUAGCCAUAGGUAAAAAAAGAAAAGAAGAAAAAAAGGAAAUUAAUUGCUCAAUGGAGAUUGUCUCAAAUCAAGCUAUGACCAUCAGGAUAGGCAAGAAAGAAACAUACAACAGACCAAUGGAAAGUAACAGAUUCUUAUUUUAUGGGAAGAUUUUAUACAAUACUUCAUAAUAUUGAGGAACAUGUCAACAUUCCACUGCAUAAUCAAUCCUUUGUCCAACAAUAUCGAGCUGAUUUACUUUUGAUAAUGAGGAACAUUAUAGUUUUGGCAAUGCUUCUAUAUAUGUAUAUAAAAAUAUAUAAGAACUAGUAUGUCGAGACUGUCACCUAUUUUCCUUUUCCUUAACUUUACAGAUGGUAUAAUAAUGUAAGGAUCAUUUAUUUUAUCCGACCUGAUCGAAUAUUUGAUUUAUUUAGUAGGAUACUAAAAUGAUUUGGGUAUAUUUCAAGUACAGAAGAAAGCACGUCUGUCGGACCUCUAACAAAAUUAAUUAAUUAAAUUGCAAGCAUAAACCUUGAAUACCGUAGAUUUCUGAAACUGUGCAAUAACCUUAUAAGAAAACAAAGAAAGAGAGGUAACGACCAUGGACAGGAAUGGGAUCUCCCAAUUGCCUAAUCAUCUCAUUCAUCACAUAUUAAUAUCAUUCUUACCUGCAACAGAUUUAGUAGGUACCUCUCAAGACAUGGCAAUAAGCAUGGUUGUCUGUUCUCAUUUACAUUUCCGAUAGUACAUUGUUUAGAGAAAAGAAAUCAUUGUAUCGAAAUCCCAUAAAACUCGAAAGAAACAAAGGAUUUUUAUUCAUGUAAGUUAGUUAAGAUACAAUAUGAAGAUGAACAUGCCUCUCGUAUUGAUUAUUGUAUACAAGUAGUGCUGUGGCCUGCAAAAGAACAGCCUCAAAGUGCCUGAUUUUUGCAUUCUUGCCACCAGAGAAAGACGCGUCGUAUUCUUUUCCUGAUAAUAUCUUCGCUUUUGUUGCCAAUUCAUUAACUAUCUUGAGGUUAAACAGAUGCAAGAUUGACAAGGCAUCACUUGGUAAUGCUAUCAAGUUGGUUUCUUUCUAAGAGUUGUCUCUUAACGAAGAGUGAUGCUUCCAAAUGAAUAUUUGUUCAUUCCUUAAUUAUUAUGUAUCAUAUAUAUACAUAUGCGUAUCUCUUUAAUCUGUGCAUGAGUAUUGAUGUGUAUUUGCUUUAUGACUGCCUCCCAACUGUCUUUAAUCCAGCUUCACAAGCAUUCAAUGCUAUCGGCAUUAUGUAGUACAGUACAAC
rnacentral:lncRNA from 1 species